GAUGAACGCUGGCUACAGGCUUAACACAUGCAAGUCGAGGGGAAACGACGGGGAAGCUUGCUUCCCCGGGCGUCGACCGGCGCACGGGUGAGUAACGCGUAUCCAACCUGCCUCUGACUGAGGGAUAACCCGUCGAAAGUCGGCCUAAUACCUCAUGGCAUCGUCUGCGGGCAUCCAACGACGAUUAAAGAUUUCAUCGGUCAGGGAUGGGGAUGCGUCUGAUUAGCUUGUUGGCGGGGUAACGGCCCACCAAGGCUACGAUCAGUAGGGGUUCUGAGAGGAAGGUCCCCCACAUUGGAACUGAGACACGGUCCAAACUUCUACGGGAGGCAGCAGUGAGGAAUAUUGGUCAAUGGGCGGGAGCCUGAACCAGCCAAGUAGCGUGCAGGAUGACGGCCCUAUGGGUUGUAAACUGCUUUUAUGCGGGGAUAAAGUGAGGGACGUGUCCUUCAUUGCAGGUACCGCAUGAAUAAGGACCGGCUAAUUCCGUG
rnacentral:rRNA from 1 species